UACGAAGGGGGCUAGCGUUGCUCGGAAUCACUGGGCGUAAAGGGUGCGUAGGCGGGUCUUUUAAGUCAGAGGUGAAAUCCUGGAGCUCAACUCCAGAACUGCCUUUGAUACUGAAGAUCUUGAGUUCGGGAGAGGUGAGUGGAACUGCGAGUGUAGAGGUGAAAUUCGUAGAUAUUCGCAAGAACACCAGUGGCGAAAGGCGACUUACUGGACACAUAUUGACGCUGAGGUGCG
rnacentral:rRNA from 1 species